rnacentral:rRNA from 1 species
UACGUAGGGGCGCAAGCGUUGUCCGGAAUUAUUGGGCGUAAAGCGCGCGCAGGUGGUUUCUUAAGUCUGAUGUGAAAGCCCACGGCUCAACCGUGGAGGGUCAUUGGAAACUGGGGGACUUGAGUGCAGAAGAGGAAAGCGGAAUUCCACGUGUAGCGGUGAAAUGCGUAGAGAUGUGGAGGAACACCAGUGGCGAAGGCGGCUUUCUGGUCUGUAACUGACGCUGAGGCGCGAAAGCGUGGGGAGCAAACAGG